rnacentral:rRNA from 1 species
CUGAGAGGGUGAUCGGCCACACUGGGACUGAGACACGGCCCAGACUCCUACGGGAGGCAGCAGUAGGGAAUCUUCGGCAAUGGGGGCAACCCUGACCGAGCAACGCCGCGUGAGUGAAGAAGGUUUUCGGAUCGUAAAGCUCUGUUGUAAGAGAAGAACGAGUGUGAGAGUGGAAAGUUCACACUGUGACGGUAACUUACCAGAAAGGGACGGCUAACUACGUGCCAGCAGCCGCGGUAAUACGUAGGUCCCGAGCGUUAUCCGGAUUUAUUGGGCGUAAAGCGAGCGCAGGCGGUUAGAUAAGUCUGAAGUUAAAGGCUGUGGCUUAACCAUAGUACGCUUUGGAAACUGUUUAACUUGAGUGCAGAAGGGGAGAGUGGAAUUCCAUGUGUAGCGGUGAAAUGCGUAGAUAUAUGGAG